rnacentral:tRNA from 1 species
GGAAGGGAAGCUCAGGUGGUAGAGCGCGUGCUUAGCAUGCACAAGGUCCUGGGUUCAAUCCCUAGUACCUCCU